UACGUAGGGUGCGAGCGUUAAUCGGAAUUACUGGGCGUAAAGCGUGCGCAGGCGGCUUUGCAAGACAGAUGUGAAAUCCCCGGGCUUAACCUGGGAAUGGCGAUGGAGACUGCGAGGCUAGAGUUUGGCAGAGGGGGGUAGAAUUCCACGUGUAGCAGUGAAAUGCGUAGAGAUGUGGAGGAACACCGAUGGCGAAGGCAGCCCCCUGGGUCAAAACUGACGCUCAUGCACGAAAGCGUGGGGAGCAAACAGG
rnacentral:rRNA from 1 species